GUGGGGAAUUUUGGACAAUGGGCGCAAGCCUGAUCCAGCAAUGCCGCGUGCAGGAAGAAGGCCUUCGGGUUGUAAACUGCUUUUGUACGGAACGAAACGGUCCGGGUUAAUACCCUGGGCUAAUGACGGUACCGUAAGAAUAAGCACCGGCUAACUACGUGCCAGCAGCCGCGGUAAUACGUAGGGUGCAAGCGUUAAUCGGAAUUACUGGGCGUAAAGCGUGCGCAGGCGGUUUUGUAAGAUCGAUGUGAAAUCCCCGGGCUCAACCUGGGAACUGCAUUGGUGACUGCAAGGCUGGAGGGCGGCAGAGGGGGAUGGAAUUCCGCGUGUAGCAGUGAAAUGCGUAGAUAUGCGGAGGAACACCGAUGGCGAAGGCAAUCCCCUGGGCCUGCACUGACGCUCAUGCACGAAAGCGUGGGGAGCAAACAGGAUUAGAUACCCUUGUAGUCC
rnacentral:rRNA from 1 species